rnacentral:misc_RNA from 1 species
GGGGAAAAAAAAAACUAUUGUUUUAGCCAAGGGCGUUUGCAAAAACAAAUUUUCAGGUCACAAAUUAUUUUGCUGGAAGAUGAAGAAUCUAUCUCACAAAAGCAAAAUGAAAAUACAAACCUCUGUUUUGGAAAGUUCAAAAGAAGUACUUAUAGUUUAAAUACCAUACAUUACAAAACCAAAUAUUAUCCAGAAUGAAAAUUAGAAAUGCUAGCUCAAGAUACAACCAGGGCAAAAUCUCUGUUUGAAGGCAGCUUCUUCAUUCUUGUCACAGUACUGUUCGCCAAGAAGGAUGACUAUCCAAUAGUGGACACAUGGAAAUCGUUUUGUCUAGGGAGGCCCAAUCCAGUGAAUCAUCAAUCCAAAUGUUUGUUAAACUUGGAAGACCAACAAGUACUAUUGACUUUAGACUUGGAAGUACAGGAGCAUUCAUCCCAUUGUUCUCUGCUUCCAGGGUAACCUCUUCAAUUUGAUGACAAGCUUCAAUUUCCAAGUGCUGGAGAUCAGAGAAUUGCUGAACUAAGCUGCUAGAGAAAAUCUUCUUCAGCUUUGAACAUUUGAAGAAAACUAAAGUAUUUAGUCGGGCAAGGCUUCCUUGAGGUACCAAACCCUCCCAAAUGCUUUGCAAGUUGGGGAUAUUGCUUAGGUACAUCUUCUCCAAGCACUCAAACACUGCAUUUGUUAUUCCAUUGCUAUCAACAACAGUCUCCAUUUCAUUACAACUUUCAAUCAAACAGCUCUUAAUCUUGGUCAUAUUGUCAAUGCCAAAGUCCGAUAACUUCAAAACUCCCUUGCAUCCAAUUAGUUCAAAUGCAUCAGCUUCAGCAAGUACCUCUGGCAAUGGAAGAUUGCCAUCACCAUUCGCAUAUUUUACACGCCGGCAAAUCCUAUGUCUGAAGCAAUCAAGAAUUUUGUACCUGGUUGAAUGAUAUUCACCUAUGGAGAAUGAAAGGUAGGUCAAUUUUUUCAGGACAGCCACAUUUUGAGUUAUAUCUCUCACAACCUGCUUCCACCACUCAUUUUCUGGAUGAAUGUCGAUGACUAACUCUUCCAACAAAGAAAGCUCUAAAAUUAUAUUGUGAUUUGUUCUGAUUUUCCUUGAUUUUCCAUCUAUCUUUGACAAUGACAUCCUGAAGCGCUGCAAUUGGCUUAAAUAUCUUAUUUCAACCGGCAAAGAAUUAAUCCCAGUACCUCGAAUAUCAAGCACCUCAAGA